rnacentral:misc_RNA from 1 species
GAUGAAGAACGCAGCGAAAUGCGAUAAGUAAUGUGAAUUGUAGAAUUCAGUGAAUCAUCGAGUCUUUGAACGCACAUUGCGCCCCCUGGUAUUCCGGGGGGCAUGCCUGUCCGAGCGUCAUUGCCGCCCUCAAGCACGGCUUGUGUGUUGGGCCCCCGCCCCCCGGCUUCGGGGGGCGGGCCCGAAAGGCAGCGGCGGCACCGCGUCCGGUCCUCGAGCGUAUGGGGCUUCGUCACCCGCUCUGUAGGCCCGGCCGGCGCCCGCCGGCGACCCCAAUCAAUCUUUCCAGGUUGACCUCGGAUCAGGUAGGGAUACCCGCUGAACUUAAGCAUAUCAAUAAGCGGAGGA